rnacentral:rRNA from 1 species
GAGCGAACAGAUAAGGAGCUUGCUCCUUUGACGUUAGCGGCGGACGGGUGAGUAACACGUGGGUAACCUACCUAUAAGACUGGGAUAACUUCGGGAAACCGGAGCUAAUACCGGAUAACAUUUGGAACCGCAUGGUUCUAAAGUGAAAGAUGGUUUUGCUAUCACUUAUAGAUGGACCCGCGCCGUAUUAGCUAGUUGGUAAGGUAACGGCUUACCAAGGCGACGAUACGUAGCCGACCUGAGAGGGUGAUCGGCCACACUGGAACUGAGACACGGUCCAGACUCCUACGGGAGGCAGCAGUAGGGAAUCUUCCGCAAUGGGCGAAAGCCUGACGGAGCAACGCCGCGUGAGUGAUGAAGGGUUUCGGCUCGUAAAACUCUGUUAUUAGGGAAGAACAAACGUGUAAGUAACUGUGCACGUCUUGACGGUACCUAAUCAGAAAGCCACGGCUAACUACGUGCCAGCAGCCGCGGUAAUACGUAGGUGGCAAGCGUUAUCCGGAAUUAUUGGGCGUAAAGCGCGCGUAGGCGGUUUCUUAAGUCUGAUGUGAAAGCCCACGGCUCAACCGUGGAGGGUCAUUGGAAACUGGGAAACUUGAGUGCAGAAGAGGAAAGUGGAAUUCCAUGUGUAGCGGUGAAAUGCGCAGAGAUAUGGAGGAACACCAGUGGCGAAGGCGACUUUCUGGUCUGUAACUGACGCUGAUGUGCGAAAGCGUGCGGAUCAAACAGGAUUAGAUACCCUGGUAGUCCACGCCGUAAACGAUGAGUGCUAAGUGUUAGGGGGUUUCCGCCCCUUAGUGCUGCAGCUAACGCAUUAAGCACUCCGCCUGGGGAGUACGACCGCAAGGUUGAAACUCAAAGGAAUUGACGGGGACCCGCACAAGCGGUGGAGCAUGUGGUUUAAUUCGAAGCAACGCGAAGAACCUUACCAAAUCUUGACAUCCUUUGAAAACUCUAGAGAUAGAGCCUUCCCCUUCGGGGGACAAAGUGACAGGUGGUGCAUGGUUGUCGUCAGCUCGUGUCGUGAGAUGUUGGGUUAAGUCCCGCAACGAGCGCAACCCUUAAGCUUAGUUGCCAUCAUUAAGUUGGGCACUCUAGGUUGACUGCCGGUGACAAACCGGAGGAAGGUGGGGAUGACGUCAAAUCAUCAUGCCCCUUAUGAUUUGGGCUACACACGUGCUACAAUGGACAAUACAAAGGGCAGCUAAACCGCGAGGUCAUGCAAAUCCCAUAAAGUUGUUCUCAGUUCGGAUUGUAGUCUGCAACUCGACUACAUGAAGCUGGAAUCGCUAGUAAUCGUAGAUCAGCAUGCUACGGUGAAUACGUUCCCGGGUCUUGUACACACCGCCCGUCACACCACGAGAGUUUGUAACACCCGAAGCCGGUGGAGUAACCAUUUAUGGAGCUAGCCGUCGAAGGUGGGACAA